AUGGCACUGCAUACCCUGAAUCUGGCCAGGGGUGGCAAGUUCAAAAGAAAUGACAAGAAGGAUGUUGCUCAAAUUUUUCAAGUUGGCGUUCAACAUAUUCGGAAAAUUUGGACGACAGCAAAGGAACAAAUAGCGCUUGGUCGGGAGGUGGAUGUAUCCAGCAAAAGGAAAGGAAGAUGCGGAAGAAAAGGAAAGGAUGAUACUCUAUCCCAAAUCCCCACAGUUCCAUUGAACAGAAGGUCGACUCUCAGGUCACUUGCU
rnacentral:rRNA from 1 species